GACGAACGCUGGCGGCGUGCCUAACACAUGCAAGUGGAGCGACGAACCAGGGCUUGCCCUGGGGCAAAGCCGCGAACGGGUGAGUAACACGUGGGUAACCUGCCCCGAUGACCGGGACAACCCGAGGAAACUCGGGCUAAUACCGGAUGUGCUCCACGCUCAUAAGCGUGUGGAGUAAAGGAAGCUUCGGCCUCCGCUUCGGGAGGGGCCCGCGGCCCAUUAGCUAGUUGGUGAGGUAACGGCCCACCAAGGCAACGAUGGGUAGCUGGUCUGAGAGGACGAUCAGCCACACUGGGACUGGGACACGGCCCAGACUCCUACGGGAGGCAGCAGUGGGGAAUCUUGCGCAAUGCGCGAAAGCGUGACGCAGCAACGCCGCGUGGGGGAAGAAGGCCUUCGGGUUGUAAACCCCUUUCAGGAGGGACGAAGGUGCGGCGGCGAACAGCCGUCCGUACUGACGGUACCUCCAGAAGAAGCCCCGGCUAACUACGUGCCAGCCGCCGCUGUAAAAC
rnacentral:rRNA from 1 species